rnacentral:lncRNA from 1 species
CACCAGGGCCCAGCUUCUCAGUCAAGUUCACAAGGGUUUUCAUUCUUCCCGGUGACCAGGGAGAGUGCACAUGGGUGGGGGAUUUGUAAUUCAUUAAUCAGCACAAGGCACCGGACCAGUUUCAACACCAGAGGCUUCACGGGUGACUCAGCGGGAACUCGAAGAUUCAAGGCCAUGGAUAGACCCAGCAUCCGUCUCACCAGGGGUAGAUAGCGGUGGCAGCCAGCCGUGGAAGGUGAUGCCUGUCUCUGGAAUGGCAUGAGGAACCCUAUGAGACAGAUGCUGUCCUUUUCCUUAAGUGAGGAGGAAGCAGGGACUAUGGCCGUUUGACUACACCAUGCAGGUACCAACCUGGGGACUGCCUUGAGAGGAAUCCACAGAGAAGAGGUUGAG